rnacentral:rRNA from 1 species
GAUGAACGCUGGCGGCGUGCCUAAUACAUGCAAGUCGAGCGAACAGACGAGGAGCUUGCUCCUCUGACGUUAGCGGCGGACGGGUGAGUAACACGUGGAUAACCUACCUAUAAGACUGGGAUAACUUCGGGAAACCGGAGCUAAUACCGGAUAAUAUAUUGAACCGCAUGGUUCAAUAGUGAAAGACGGUUUUGCUGUCACUUAUAGAUGGAUCCGCGCCGCAUUAGCUAGUUGGUAAGGUAACGGCUUACCAAGGCGACGAUGCGUAGCCGACCUGAGAGGGUGAUCGGCCACACUGGAACUGAGACACGGUACAGACUCCUACGGGAGGCAGCAGUAGGGAAUCUUCCGCAAUGGGCGAAAGCCUGACGGAGCAACGCCGCGUGAGUGAUGAAGGUCUUCGGAUCGUAAAACUCUGUUAUCAGGGAAGAACAAAUGUGUAAGUAACUAUGCACGUCUUGACGGUAACUAAUCAGAAAGCCACGGCUAACUACGUG